rnacentral:rRNA from 1 species
CCUACGGGAGGCUGCAGUGGGGAAUAUUGGACAAUGGGGGCAACCCUGAUCCAGCCAUGCCGCGUGUGUGAAGAAGGCCCUCGGGUUGUAAAGCACUUUCAGUGAGGAAGAACGCCUGGUGGUUAAUACCCAUCAGGAAAGACAUCACUCACAGAAGAAGCACCGGCUAACUCCGUGCCAGCAGCCGCGGUAAUACGGAGGGUGCGAGCGUUAAUCGGAAUUACUGGGCGUAAAGCGCGCGUAGGUGGCUUGAUAAGCCGGUUGUGAAAGCCCCGGGCUCAACCUGGGAACGGCAUCCGGAACUGGCAAGCUAGAGUGCAGGAGAGGAAGGUAGAAUUCCCGGUGUAGCGGUGAAAUGCGUAGAGAUCGGGAGGAAUACCAGUGGCGAAGGCGGCCUUCUGGACUGACACUGACACUGAGGUGCGAAAGCGUGGGUAGCAAACAGGAUUAGAUACCCUGGUAGUC